rnacentral:misc_RNA from 1 species
CCCACAUAAAAUUAGCCCCAUUAGCACCUCUUGGAGGGGCUAAUGUUUUGAGGGAGGCUAAUUCACAUUAGCUCAAAAUUAGCUCACCUGUUUGGAUCCUUGAGGGCUAAUUUGAGGCUAAAAGGUGAAG